AGUGAACGCUGGCGGUAGGCCUAACACAUGCAAGUCGAACGGCAGCACAGAGGAGCUUGCUCCUUGGGUGGCGAGUGGCGGACGGGUGAGGAAUACAUCGGAAUCUACUCUGUCGUGGGGGAUAACGUAGGGAAACUUACGCUAAUACCGCAUACGACCUACGGGUGAAAGCAGGGGAUCUUCGGACCUUGCGCGAUUGAAUGAGCCGAUGUCGGAUUAGCUAGUUGGCGGGGUAAAGGCCCACCAAGGCGACGAUCCGUAGCUGGUUUGAGAGGAUGAUCAGCCACACUGGAACUGAGACACGGUCCAGACUCCUACGGGAGGCAGCAGUGGGGAAUAUUGGACAAUGGGCGCAAGCCUGAUCCAGCCAUACCGCGUGGGUGAGGAAGGCCUUCGGGUUGUAAAGCCCUUUUGUUGGGAAAGAAAUCCAGCUGGCUAAUACCCGGUUGGGAUGUUUUUAAGGGAAGAAUAAGCACCGGCUAACUUCGUGCCAGCAGC
rnacentral:rRNA from 1 species